UACGUAGGUGGCAAGCGUUGUCCGGAAUUAUUGGGCGUAAAGCGCGCGCAGGCGGUCCUUUAAGUCUGAUGUGAAAGCCCACGGCUCAACCGUGGAGGGUCAUUGGAAACUGGGGGACUUGAGUGCAGAAGAGGAAAGCGGAAUUCCACGUGUAGCGGUGAAAUGCGUAGAGAUGUGGAAGAACACCAGUGGCGAAGGCGGCUUUCUGGUCUGUAACUGACGCUGAGGCGCGAAAGCGUGGGGAGCAAACAGG
rnacentral:rRNA from 1 species